GAUGCUAGAUUAUGAGGGAGUUUCACCUAAUAGUUACAACCUUAUAAUCACAAGUAGUGAAGAUCGCUUGAAAUCGAUCGCGUUGAAUGAAUUCUUAGCAUAAGUUUUCAUGCAAUUCAUAGUAACAAAUGCUUCGUCAAUGCUUAUGUUUUUCAUAGAACGUAAUGAUUCUUACUUGUAUCUCUAUUAUGCAAUUCAUGUAGGGAACUUGUAGGGAAUGUUUUGGGUUGUCGUAUGCAAUCAUCCAACUUAAUAACUUGUGGAAAAACUGAGGGUUAAUUAGUGCAAUUCACGGUUAACUUGGGGCGUUGAGUAUUCAUAGUUUAUCGGAAGAACAACUGAAAAAUCGUUCUGUUUGCAAGUGUGACAUGUGUGGAGAAGAACCUCCUAACUAGCCUUUUAACCAUCUAUUUCACCAAAAUCGUUUUUACAAUCUGUGUUAAUUAAAGUUUCUGUUUUGUUUUCAAUUUUCGUCCAAAACAAUUCCCCCUUUAUUUUGAAGUCUUAGAUUAGUUAGAAAGUGUUUUGAUUUGUGUUUCUAGGUGUUUUGAUUCAAGUUUUCAACCAAUUUCGUCCAGAUUAGUGUAAGUGCUCAAAACUGCCCAGAAAGUGGUUUUUAGGCAGUUUUGAGUCUUCUAGUUGCUGUUUUGGUUUUUAGGUUUGUUUAAGUGUUUUAACUUUUAGUUUUGCAUUCUUUGAGUCUAGUUUAGUGUUUUUAACUUUGUUUUUUAGUGUUUAAGUCAGUUUCCAAGCGUUUAGCAAUCCCUCCUAAUCCCCGGUCUAGAACGAUCCCUACUUACAUCUUUGCUACAAUUUGACAAAAAGAGGGUUUAAUUUGUGUGCUUAUCUAUUUCGCAUCAAAUUUUUGGCGCCGUUGCCGGGGAUUAGCAAAUUUGCUAAUCCCUUGGAUUGUUUUUGUUUUUUUUAUUAAACUUUGUUUCUGACUUUGUUUAAGUUUCUGACCUAAUUUUGUUUCUUGUUUCUUAGGUACUAAUGUAUGACUAGAAGCUCUCAACCGAUUCGUGCAAACAUCUUGGAUUUUGACGACGAUUUUGAGAGGAAGUUAAGAAGAGCUAGAAACCAGCAAGAACACCAUCCACCCAAUUCCGAAUCUGACCUUGAAGAAAACGUCCAAGAAGAGGAGGAAGAAGCCACGGCAGGGAUAUUUGAAGAAGUCCAAGGCAUGGCCAUGGACAAUCGUACACUCAAGGAGCUUUCCGCCUCGGGUUUGGAUAAUGCCGCACCCUUGUGCAUCCAAUACCCCGUGGCUGCCCAAGGUAAGACGGAUGAGUUUGAAUUAAAGUCAAGUUUGCUUCAUCAUAUUCCUAAAUACCAUGGCUUGUCCAUGGAAGAUCCUAACAAACAUUUGAAAGAAUUUGAAGUAGUUUGCUCUAGUAUGACUCCCGUCAAUGUUGACGGAAAUAUUUUGAAGAUGAAGGCUUUUCCAUUCUCUUUGAUGGAUAAAGCCAAGGAUUGGUUAUAUGAGUUAGCUCCCGGAACUGUCACAUCGUGGGAAAGUAUGAAGAGAGCGUUCUUGGAGAAGUUCUUUCCAACUUCUCGCAUCAUCCUCCUCCGCAAAAAGAUAAGCGGAAUUCAGCAAGAAGAAGGUGAGUCUUUUCCUACAUAUUAUGAACGAUUUAAAUCACUUGUUGCUUCUUGUCCACAGCAUCAGAUGAAGGAGGAAUUGCUCUUGCAAUAUUUCUACGAGGGCCUCCUACCUCUAGAACGUCAAAUGCUUGAUGCUUCAGCGGGCGGAGCAUUGGUGGAUAAAACACCCAUGGCUGCCAAGGUCUUGAUUGCUAAUAGAGCGUUGAACGCUCAACAGUACGAGGGUGUAGGCCAAAGAGGACCCCCACGGCACCAAGUACAUGAGGUAAGUUCGACUUCCGAUCUUCAUUCACAAUUGGCUAAUCUUACUUCUCUUGUGUCUCAGAUGGCCGAGGGCAUGAAGAUGCAAGGAACAACUGUAUGUGGCGUAUGUUCCAUCCAAGGACAUGUCUCUGAAAAAUGUCCACAGUUGAUUGAAAAUGGUGGAUGGGAAAGCGCCCAUGCAAUUGGGUUUCAAGGUCAAAACCAACCAAGGAACGAUCCAUAUUCAAACACAUAUAAUCCCGGUUGGAGAGACCACCCAAAUUUCAAGUGGAGGGAUCCCCAGCAACCUCAGAACCAAGGAGGCUUUAGGCAACAACCCCCGGGGUUCUUUCCCAAAACCUACGGCCCACCCCAAAAUCAAGCCCAAUCCGGCCCAAAUGCCUCAGGUACGUGUCUUGACAAUGAUGCACUUCUUAAGAUACUAACUAAGUUGUCUAAUGGACAGGAAGAUCAAGCUAAGGCUAUGCAAAUCCAAGACAAAAGGGUGGAUCAACUUGAGAAAACAAAUUGGGCAGAUUGCCGAGUUUGUUGGGCAGUUUAGAGAACAAGGAAAGCUUCCUAGUUCAACCAUUGCGAAUCCGAAAGGAGGCUUUGAAACCGCAAAUGCAAUCAUGCUAAGGAGUGGAAAAGAAGUUGGGGCAGGUUCUACACCACCAAAAUCAGGUCCCAAAGAGGAUGAAAUGUUGAAAUCUGAAGAGGAGACACCAAGUCCACUCACGGCAAAGGUAGCACCACCUUUGCCGCAAGCACCCAUGGUCCCUAAGCCAUCCAAUCCUUCCACCCUAGGUAAGAUGAGUCCAAGUUUGGUUAAUGCUAACAUUAUUCCACCCAAUGUGCCAUUUCCUAGCAGAUUUUUGCAAUCCAAGAAUGAAGAGGAGGAAAAAGAUGUGCUAGAGACAUUUAGGAAGGUUCAAGUUAACAUACCUCUCUUGGAUGCAAUCAAGCAAAUCCCGAAGUAUGCCAAGUGUUUAAAGAAGCUUUGUACGACAAAGAAACGUACUCGGGAGAAAGAAGUGGUACAUGUAAGCGAGAAUGUCUCCGCCAUUUUGCAACGUAAACUACCCCCCAAAUGCAAAGAUCCGGGGAGCUUUACAAUUCCGUGUGUCAUUGGUAAUACCCGUUUCAAAUCUGCCAUGCUAGAUUUAGGAGCAUCUAUUAAUGUUAUGCCAUAUUCUGUUUAUGCAUCUAUGAAUCUAGGAGCACUUAAAAUGAUGGGGUAAUAAUACAAUUGGCCGAUAGAUCUAACGCCUAUCCAAAGGGAGUUUUGGAAGAUGUUCUUGUGCAGGUUAAUCAUUUGGUCUUCCCAGCGGAUUUCUAUGUCCUCGAAAUGGAUGAAUCGGACCAUGCCCCUUCGUUGCCCAUCCUCCUUGGAAGGCCAUUUAUGAAAACGGCUCAAACGAAGAUUGAUGUGGCCAAAGGAUUAGUAACUAUGGCAUUUGGUGGUGACAUGAUUAGUUUUAAAAUUUCUGAAUCCAUUGAGACUCCUAAUGUUGUUCAUUCUUGUUGUGCCAUUGAUAAACUUGAAAAGAUAGGCCCGGACCGUUCAGCACCAAGCACAAAGGAUGCGUCAAGAACCAUGCAAGACGAGGGAAUUGGAGUGGAGUACAAGGCCCAUACGGCCACUGCCCUCAAAGUGCUCACAGUGGCCGAAGGCACCAUGGGGAAGAACGUGUACCUUGCUGCCACUUCAUCACAUCACAUAGGUAAGCCACCUAAUCCAAUCCAAUUCCCAUUAAAGUUGAUAGGUGGUUCCCUUCUAUGGUGCAGGUACCCAAGCAAAUCCCCGAUGGUGGGCGCAUGUACAUGAACCUUAGGCAACACAACGCACCCAUCAACAAACAUCACUAUCCAUUACCGUUCAAAGAUGCAAUGUAUGAGAGUGCCGUGGGCUCCAAUGGGGCAUGAUUGUGCUUUUCGUCCGGCUGUACGACGUUAAAGAAAGCGCUACUUGGGAGGCAACCCAUGCAAUGCAACAAAGGAAGACCAAGGAAUUACUCCAAUUCCAGAUUUGCGUUCCUAAACUCUUCCCUUUGUUAUUUAUUUCGAAUCUGCCUAUUUAGUUGUUUUAGUUGCUGUUUGUGUGUUUCUUUUUGUUUAGUGUGAUUUUAUGCUUGAAACAUUGAGGACAAUGUUUGAUUUAAGUGUGGGGGGGUAACUAAGUGUUCUAGAUGCAAAUUCGUGGGAUUUUAUCACCCUAAAGUUGAAGACUUGUUCCUUGCUGUUUUUAAGUGUUUUUGAGCAGUUUUGGUGUGUUUUAGUGUGUGUUAAUGCAAAAAUCCGAAAAUUACAUAAAAAUUUUAAAAAUUUGUUUUAAAAACCCAAAAAGAGUUGUUUUUGUGUGUUUGUUUGUGUCUUAGGGUACCUUCCAACACAAUGAUGAGGAUUCGGUUUGUAAUUACAUGGCUGUUAAAGAGAGUGAUUAACAUGGAUGAAAGUUUGAUUUACUCUUUGUUAUGCUUAGUUGUGGUUAUAACUUAUGAAUUCACAUGCAAUCAUAAAAGAAAAAAUCAGUUUUUGUAACAUGCUUGAAGGAAGGAACUCAAACUAACGCUACAACCUUGUGAGACUUGAGCCUAAACGUUUAUGUGGAGAGUUAAAAUCUGUGCAUUCUUUGUUUUCUAAGUCGUUGCAUGAUCUCAUUAUUCCUUGCUUGGUUGCUACUUAGAUGGCGUUUCAUCAUUUAGUUCCAAAUGCUAGAACUCAUGCCCAUUUCAUUCAAAGCAUGUUAUUGAUUUGCAUAACACAUAUUCAAGAUGAAGUUGUGUAGUGACCACCACCUUAGCCAAAAAGCCGUGUGCCCUAUGUCAUUGUGAUUUGUAGGUUUUAACCCCAUUGAGCCUUGUUAGCCUUCGUUAUUUGUUAACCCAUGUUUUCCUCACCUAGCCUAGUUUAGGACCAUCUAAACCCUUGUUCUUAAAGCAUAGUAAAGCAUGGUUCAAAUUGAAUUCCUUUUGAUUUAUGUUGGCAGAAAACUAGUGUGGGGGAAGUAUUUCUUUUGUGAUUUUGUGUGCCAUAGGCACGUGUGGAAAGAAAAGAAAAAAAAAAGAAAAGAAAAAAAUUCGUGGAAAAAGAAAAAAUGAAGAAAAAAAUAUGAAAAGUGUGACAAAGAGUUGAAAAGUUGAGAAAAAGAGUUCCAAAGUAUUGUUUGUUGAAGUAAGGGUCCAAAACAAUGAAUUCGGCCCUAAGGAGUUGUUUAAAUCUUUCCCUUUUGUUUUAAAGUUAAUUUCUGCACUCUAAGUGAAUUCUAAGUCUCAAUUUCAUUGCUUUGCUUACUAUUGCUUGAAGAACAUUUGUUUUCCUUAUCCUUUCCUUGUUAACCAACACCCCAAGCCCCAUUACAACCCUUAACUUCUAUCUUGAGUGUUAUGUGUUUCAAUUUGUGGAGUUUGAAUUUGGUAUGAGCAUAUGGUGUCACUGGUUCUCGCAUCUAAGUAGUAGCAUUCCAUUCAUGAGAUCAUAUCUAAACAUGCUUCUUAACUCUAGAAAUUGCGUUCUUUGUGAUACAUAUAUGUGAGCAUUCGUUUUCAUUUCUACAUCAAUCUUCUCACAUAUGACUAGUGUAGGGUGUGGAGUUAGAAAAUCUGAGUGAAAAUAGAGUGUAUAUCUUGUAAGGAAUUGAGGGAAUUCUCUAAGGCAUGUUACUACAUUCAAAGCAUUGUUUUGAUUGAUUACUUGUGAAUUAGUAAGUGGUGGCUUUAAUUAAGUAUGUGCUUGUGUAAAGAUGACUCAAAUCUGUGGGGAUAACAAUCUUUAACAUGUCAUGUGCAUUGGAAAUCCCUGAGGCAAACGUUGGAAGGUUUAGGUUUUGUUUUGGUUAGUUGGUUUCGUUCUGUUUCCUUUCUUUUGUUUGUUUUGCUCGAGGACUAGCAAAAGCUAAGUGUGGGGGAAUUUGAUAGGAGCAUAUUUAUGCGCCUUAGUUAGCUAGUUCUUAUGCAUCUUUGUUAUGUUUUCUUCGUUAAAGUAGUCUUUUAAGCUACUUUCUUGUGUUUUCAGGUUUAGCGGACGUAUUACAUGAAAUGAUGCAAUUUGGAGCUUUGGAGCAAAAAGUGAGCUUGAAUUGAAAAGGACAUGCUUGGAACGCAAGGUUGGGAUGGAAUUGAAGAGUUGAUGAUUUGAGGUUUCCUACUUGAAGUAGGAAAGUUAAGCCUAAAAGUUUCCAUUUUGGGUCGAUCUUUCCUAAAUCGGAAUUGGCAACCAAAGUUUCUAAAAGUUGGAAGUUUCUAUUCUUGGAGGUUUCCAUUUUCGAGAGUUUCUAUUCUUGGCGUUGGGCUUUUAGAUGACCUAAACCCAAAUUUCCUUGUGGACCUUCAACCCAUGCCGAACCCUAGGGCCUAAUCAUCUAAAAUCUGCCAUGUUAAACCCUAGUCCAUUUCUCCUAAACCCAAGCCGCACCUAACCCUAGCCCAUUGUUAAAAAUCUGAUUUCAUUAGGGUUUCUAAGUGCCUAUAUAUACCACCCUUACACCCUAGCCGCAUACAUCUUCCCCUCUCCACAAAAUCAGAAAAUCAUCUCUCCUUCUCCCCACCUUUUGCCGCAGCCACCAUCACCCAAAAUCCAUCCAUUCCAGCCGCCACUCAUCCAUUCCAGCAACCUACCCCCACUUUGCCGCACCACCAUACACCUCCCUUACCCUUUUCCGAACCACCAUAUCAUCCCAAAUCCAUCCCUAAAACGAAAUCACAUCCAAACAGCCCCUAAACCCUCACUGCCGCAGCAAGGAGAAGAAGAAAGAGGAGCUUUCUGUGCAGAUUUCAAAGUGGACUUCUUUGGCAUUUUAGGUGUAAUCUUUCUUAUGUCUUUCGAUGUUUCAAUUCAAAUAAACUUUGUGUUGUGAGUAUGAGGAACUAAACCCCCUUAGUUGGGGGGUGAUUCGAAACCAUGUACAUGCUUGCAAUUUGAUUCGAUUACAUUCAGUUGUUAUUUCAUGAGUUAUGGAUUCAAUUCGUUCAUCUAUUUGAUUGAUAACUUAUUUGUGUAUGUUGAUGAGAGUGCACGCUUAGUUUUCAUGCAUGAAUAUGAUGCUAGAUUAUGAGGGAGUUUCACCUAAUAGUUACAACCUUAUAAUCACAAGUAGUGAAGAUCGCUUGAAAUCGAUCGCGUUGAAUGAAUUCUUAGCAUAAGUUUCAUGCAAUUCAUAGUAACAAAUGCUUCGUCAAUGCUUAUGUUUUUCAUAGAACGUAAUGAUUCUUACUUGUAUCUCUAUUAUGCAAUUCAUGUAGGGAACUUGUAGGGAAUGUUUUGGGUUGUCGUAUGCAAUCAUCCAACUUAAUAACUUGUGGAAAAACUGAGGGUUAAUUAGUGCAAUUCACGGUUAACUUGGGGCGUUGAGUAUUCAUAGUUUAUCGGAAGAACAACUGAAAAAUCGUUCUGUUUGCAAGUGUGACAUGUGUGGAGAAGAACCUCCUAACUAGCCUUUUAACCAUCUAUUUCACCAAAAUCGUUUUUACAAUCUGUGUUAAUUAAAGUUUCUGUUUUGUUUUCAAUUUUCGUCCAAAACAAUUCCCCCUUUAUUUUGAAGUCUUAGAUUAGUUAGAAAGUGUUUUGAUUUGUGUUUCUAGGUGUUUUGAUUCAAGUUUUCAACCAAUUUCGUCCAGAUUAGUGUAAGUGCUCAAAACUGCCCAGAAAGUGGUUUUUAGGCAGUUUUGAGUCUUCUAGUUGCUGUUUUGGUUUUAAGGUUUGUUUAAGUGUUUUAACUUUUAGUUUUGCAUUCUUUGAGUCUAGUUUAGUGUUUUUAACUUUGUUUUUUAGUGUUUAAGUCAGUUUCCAAGCGUUUAGCAAUCCCUCCUAAUCCCCGGUCUAGAACGAUCCCUACUUACAUCUUUGCUACAAUUUGACAAAAAGAGGGUUUAAUUUGUGUGCUUAUCUAUUUCGCAUCAUACUCCUGCUAGAAAUUUACUUAACGCGAUUGUCACUAGGAACCUCCACUACUUGUAAAUAUAAGUUCAUAACUAUUAGGUGAAACUCCCUUAUAUUUUAGCAUCAAAUCCCUGCAUGCAAACUAAGUCGGCCUCCUUAAUCAACAUAUAAGAAUAAGUUAUCAAUCAAACAGAUAAGCAAAUUGCACUCACCAUUUAUGAAACAAUAACUAGUUGUAAUCAAUUCAUAUCACACAUAUGUUCAUGGCUUCGAAUUCCCCUCUAGCUAAAACGAAAUUAGUUCCACAUGUUUGCAAUCAAACAAAGACAACUGAAAUUAAACAUUGAAAACAAAAGAUAGAAUACACCUAUAAACGGUCCAGCAAUCUAAGGGUCUUGAAUGGCAGGCACGGCUCCAAGCUUCUUCUUCUCUUUCCUUGCAAAGCUGCAGUACAAGUGUGUUUUUCUCUUCUCUGAAUUUCUCUCUAAAGCUCUCUCUCUGAAAAUCCCCCCCCCCCCAAAAUCUGUGGCACAAUUAUGUUUAUAUAGGGUAGGGUUCAUGAUGAUAGGAGCAUUUUAUGGGACUUAGUUUGCUUGUUUUCUUGCAUUUCAUAGUUAGUUUCUGUUUAAAAGAGAUGGAGAAAUUAAUUCAAGACUUGGAAGAUAAGGAAUCAGCUCAAAAGAAGGAAACAUUAACUAAACCUUAUCUUAUCCAACAUUAUCCAAACUAACCUUAUCUUAUCUUAUCAUAUCCUAAUUCUAUUUCACCUUAAUUCCAGCUGCAAGGGGGAAUUAUUUUCAGAUUAGGACACUUAAAAACUUGUUCUAGAAGCCCUAGUCCUUUCCUAAUCCUUGCCGCACCACAUUACCCUUUCCUAAUCCUUGCCGCAACUCUACUUACCCUUUUUCUUAAAAUCUACCAAGUAUUCUUUCCUGAUUUCCUUGACUUUUGUUAGCUUUUUCUUGGGGACUUGGAAAGCUAAACCCUUCCCUAAAACAACAUCAAUGUUGUGUCCCUAACCCUAUAAAAGCCACUUUCUGCCGCACCAUACCAUUCCAUUCCAUCCACAUACUAUCCUAACCACUAUUCACCACCCAUGCCACAUACCAUCCCAUUCCAUCCAUACACCAUUACAACCACAACAUACAAAACCCAUUCACUACCAUUGAUACUUUCAGCCAUUCUUCCAUACAAUUCAUCACUCACACCUUGUACCGCAGCAAAGAAGAAGAAGGAGGACCCUUGGACGUGCUUGCCAUUCAAGUUUGGAUUGUUGGAACAUUCUUAGGUGUAAUCCAUCUUUGUUUUCAAUGUUUAAGUUUAAUUAUCUUUGUUUUGCGAACAUGAGGAGCUAAACUCGUUUUAGUAGGGGGAAAUUCAAAUCCAUGAAUAUAUUUGCAAUAUGAAUUGAUUCCUUUCAGUUGUGAUUUCAUAAAUCGUGAAUGCAAUAUACUUAACUGUUUGAUUCAGAACUUAUUCUUGUUUGUCGAUUAAGGAUGCAUACUUAGUUUGCAUGCAUGAAUUUGAUGCUAGAAUAUAAGGGAGUUUCACCUAAUCGUUAUGAACUUAUAUUCAUAAGUAGUUGAUAGGAGCAUAUUUAUGCGCCUUAGUUAGUUAGUUCUUAUGCAUUUAUGUUGUGUUUUCUUAGUUAAAUUAGU
rnacentral:lncRNA from 1 species